GACGAACGCUGGCGGCGUGCUUAACACAUGCAAGUCGAACGGAAAGGCCUCUUUCGGGGGGUACUCGAGUGGCGAACGGGUGAGUAACACGUGAGUAACCUGCCCUUGACUUUGGGAUAACUUCAGGAAACUGGGGCUAAUACCGGAUAGGAGCUCCUGCUGCAUGGUGGGGGUUGGAAAGUUUCGGCGGUUGGGGAUGGACUCGCGGCUUAUCAGCUUGUUGGUGGGGUAGUGGCUUACCAAGGCUUUGACGGGUAGCCGGCCUGAGGGGGUGACCGGCCGCAUUGAGACUGAGAUACGGCCCAGACUCCUACGGGAGGCAGCAGUGGGGAAGAUUGCACAAUGGGUGGAAGCCUGAUGCAGCAACGCCGUGUGCGGGAUGACGGCCUUCGGGUUGUAAACCGCUUUCGCUCAUGACGAAGCUUUGUGUGACGGUAGUGGGUAAAGAAGCACCGGCUAACUACGUG
rnacentral:rRNA from 1 species